GGACUACUGGGGUUUCUAAUCCCGUUCGCUCCCCUAGCUUUCGCACAUGAGCGUCAGUUACGAGCCAGAAUGCUGCCUUCGCCUUUGGUGUUCUUCCAGAUCUCUACGCAUUUCACCGCUCCACCUGGAAUUCCGCAUCCCUCUCUCGUCCUCAAGUCUGCCAGUUUUCCAAGGCCUGGAAGGGUUAAGCCCUCCCCUGUCACUCAAAACUUAACAGACCGCCUGCGUGCCCUUUACGCCCAAUAAAUCCGGACAACGCUUGCCCCCUACGUAUUACCGCGGCGGCUGGCAC
rnacentral:rRNA from 1 species